GAGGGUACAGCUCAGUGGUAGAGUGCAUACUUAGCAUGCACAAGGUCCUGGGUUCAAUCCCCAGUACCUCCA
rnacentral:tRNA from 1 species